CAGCCGUAAACUAUGCGCGUUAGGUGUAUCGGUGACCACGAGUUACCGAGGUGCCGAAGGGAAACCGUGAAACGUGCCGCCUGGGAAGUACGGUCGCAAGGCUGAAACUUAAAGGAAUUGGCGGGGAGCACCACAACAGGUGGAGCCUGCGGUUUAAUUGGACUCAACGCCGGGAAGCUCACCGGAUAGGACAGCAGAAUGAUUGCCGGGCUGAAGACCCUGCAUGACUAGCUGAGAGGUGGUGCAUGGCGUCAGUG
rnacentral:rRNA from 1 species